rnacentral:misc_RNA from 1 species
GAAAAGUUUCAUCAUGGCGGGAGGGAAGAUGAAGAAAGAUAAGCCUCAGCGAGGGUCAUCAUCCGCUGCCUCAAAUCCUCACUUCCAGGGAGGGAUAUCGUUCCACAAGUCGAAGGGUCAGCACAUUCUGAAAAAUCCUCUACUGGUUGAUUCUAUUGUCCAAAAAUCCGGAAUUAAAUCUACCGAUGUUAUCCUCGAAAUUGGUCCUGGUACCGGUAAUCUUACUAAGAAGCUUCUAGAAGCUGGAAAGUCUGUUAUUGCUGUUGAACUUGAUCCUCGUAUGGUUCUCGAGUUGCAACGAAGGUUUCAAGGAACUCCUUUAUCCAAUCGACUGAAGGUUAUACAAGGGGAUGUUCUUAAGUGUGAUCUCCCUUACUUCGAUAUUUGUGUGGCUAACAUCCCAUAUCAAAUAUCAUCUCCUCUCACCUUCAAAUUAUUGGCUCAUAGGCCUUUAUUCAGAGCUGCAGUAAUAAUGUUCCAGAGAGAAUUUGCUAUGAGACUUGUUGCUCAACCUGGUGACACUCUUUAUUGCCGCCUUUCUGUGAACACACAGCUGUUGGCCCGAGUAUCACACUUAUUGAAG